CCCCGGCAGAAACCCGGAAGUGGAAAUCUCAGCCAUUCAGCGUUUGGGUGAAGACGAAGGCGGGUUCUGGACGGACGUACGCUGUCAGGGAGUGUUUACUUCGCCUCCACUUCUGUUCCUCCCCGCCGUGGUGCUGCUCUGGGUCACAUAUUCGUCCUGAGCCGGCUUCAGCCUCUCCGCGCAGAAGUCUCCCGGAACCAUGGCCGAGUACUCCUAUGUGAAGUCUACCAAGCUUGUGCUUAAGGGAACCAAGGCGAAGAGUAAGAAGAAAAAGAGGAAAGAUAAGAAGAGAAGAAGAUGAAGAAACCCAGUUUGAUAUGUUGGAAUCUGGUGGACGGUAACAAACUUUGGUGGAAUUUCAGGAACCAUAGCCAUUGAAAUGGAUGAGGGAACCUAUAUACAUGCACUCGACAAUGGUCUUUUUACCCUGGGAGCUCCACACAAAGAAGUUGAUGAGGGCCCUAGUCCUCCAGAGCAGUUUAUGGCUGUCAAAUUAUCUGAUUCCAGGGGAAAAUGGCUUUGUUGGCCUCAAAUAGCUGCUUUAUUAGAUGCAAUGAAGCAGGGGACAUAGAAGCAAAAAGUAAAACAGCAGAAGAAGAAAUGAUCAAGAUUAGAUCCUGUGCUGAAAGAGAAACCAAGAAAAAAGAUGACAUUCCAGAAGAAGACUAAGGAAAUGUAAAACAAUGUGAAAUCAAUUAUGUAAAGAAAUUUCAGAGCUUCCAAGACCACAAAUUUAAAAUAAGUAAAGAAGAGAGUAAAAUUCUUUAAAAAGGCUCAGAAAGAUGGAUUUUUCAUGAGACGCUUCUGGACAGAUAACCAAAUUGAAAGCCGACAGAUACUGCAAAUGACUGGGAUUUUUGUUUCUGCCUUAUCUUUUUGUAUUUUUUUCUGAAUAAAAUAUUCAGAGGAAAUGCUUUUACAGAGUUCUUGAGUUGUUGUGAAAUUAUUAUUUAGCUAGUACCUAGUUUAACCAGGAUUAAACAAGUUUAAUCAGGAUUCUUCAUGGAUGUACUUUUUAGCUAACUACAGCUUUUCACAUGGAAAUGAAACUUACAGUACACACUUAACAUACCACAUAAUUUUUUUCUGGAUUUCCUGUCCUGAAGCAUGAAGUGUAGUAGAAACCAAUUCUUCCUGCGCUACUUGUGGAAUCUUUCUUACUGGAUCAUAAUCUUACUUACUUUAUACAAUAGAUGCUUAAUCAGUGCCUUUAAUAAGAAGUUAGAAACUCCCAAUCCAAUCAACAAGGCUUUGAUUCUACCUCCUAAGUAGUAUCCAGAUCACAGACAAUCCAAAUAUCAGAACUAGGGGACCGGGCAGAAAGGACAAAUCAUCUAUUAGGGAGUGGGACAGAAAGUAGAAACAUUACAAAGGAGCAAGUAGUCUCAGAACAGAGGGGAGAGUAGUACUGGAAAAACUCCCUACUGAGGAAAGGUUUGCCACAGUGGAUAUGUAUGUGAUGCUUUUGUCCUCUUGGGCUGGAAUGGAAGCUGAUAAAGAAGUUCAGACGCUACGUGUUGCUUAGGUCUGCUUUGUUGAAGCCUGUCUCUUUCAGAGUUCCUAAACACAAUAUUCCCGUGGCAUCUAAUCCCAGUGAGUGCUCCAAAUCCAGGCUGUGUAUCAGAUGCCACGGGAAAUUCUGCCUCAGGACUGAGGUUGGUUCAAGUGAUACAAACCACAGAAUGAGGAACACGCCUUCAGGAGACUGAAUCCUGCUUCCCAACCCUAGCUUGGUAUCUGAGACCAUCUGCCUGCUGACUGGCUUUCCUGGCACAAACAUUCUGCAUGUAGGCACAGUGUGUUCCUGGACUCCAUGUCAACCCGUUCACCCUCAUGUUCCCUUGGUUCCUCUCCCCAGUCCAGCGAGCAGAACUGAUUACAGAUCUUGACAACAGAAGAUACAGAUUUAAAAUAACUUGCCUGUUCCCGUGGACUUUAUCCACUAGUGGAGGAGGACAAGUGGACAAGGGGACAGGGUAGGUGGGGGCUCCUUCCCUAUUCCUCCCAUUCCACUUUAUACAAACCCUAGCUAGACCACUGGGAGAGCAACGGAGGUUAAGAAUGACUGCAUCUAAAUAUUGUCAUCUGGUCCACUCUUCUUCCAUCUUGUACACAAGAAUAUCAUGAGUUUUGGUUAAAGCACUACUGAAACCAAGAUAAACUCUGGCUUAGCAUGCCCCUGACGGAUCAGUCUAGUAAUCAUAUCAAAACCAAGACUACCUAAAAGCACUAACCAAAGGAAAGCUCCCUCACCCCAACCUAUGACUGCUCACAUUUUUCAGAUUGAAUCAUUUCAAUUGUAUUUUAAGGUUCAUUGACUCUUUACCACCUCCAAGCUGCUCCUGAACACAACUGAUUGUUAUUUUUUAAUUUUGAAAACUUUCUCACUUCUAGAAUUUCCACUUGAGCCUUUGUUAUUAUUGUAGUUUCUUCUUCUCUGCUGUGAUUUCCUAUCCAUUUAUUUUAUGGGUUUUUAGGGUUUUGAUUUUAGUAAGAAUUACAAUAACUACUUUAAAAAUCCACACUAAUUCCAACAUCUGGGUCAUCUCGAGGUCAGUCUCUAUUGAUUGCCUUUUUCUUUGAAUAUGUUUCUUUAUAUGUUUGAUAUAAUGGGAUUGAAUUCUGAAUAUUGUAAAACUAGAUUCUGUUUUGUUCCUCUGAAAAUUUUGAUAAUUUUAUGUUGUAUUUGUUGUAUUUUGCUUGAUUGUUUCUUUCUAUUGUAUACUUUACAAUAUAUUUUCUUCCAAUGGUUUUAACAUU